GCGCCUGUAGCUCAGUAUGGAUAGAGCGAGGGAUUCCUAAUCCCUAGGUCGUCGGUUCGAAUCCGGCCAGGCGUACCA
rnacentral:tRNA from 2 species